AUUGCACGCUGGCGGCAGGCCUAACACAUGCAAGUAGAACGAGUGGCGGACGGGUGAGUAAUGUCUGGGAAAAUGCCUGAUGGAGGGGGAUAACUAAUGGAAAAGGUAGCUAAUACCGCAUACCAUCGGAUGUGCCCAGAUGGGAUUAGCUAGUAGGUGGGGUAAAGGCUCACAUAGGCGACGAUCCCUAGCUGGUCUGAGAGGAUGACCAGCCACACUGGAACUGAGACACGGUCCAUACUCCGACGUGAGGCAGCAGUGGUGAAUAUUGCACAAUGGGAUCAAGCCUGAUGAAGCCAUGCCGCGUGUAUGAAGAAGGCCUUCGGGUUGUAAAGUACUUUCAGCGGGGAGGCGUUACCCGCAGAAGAAGCACCGGCUAACUCCGUGCCAGCCGCCGCGGUAAUUC
rnacentral:rRNA from 1 species